rnacentral:lncRNA from 1 species
GUGCAAGUGCAUCUCUUGAAUAAUAACUUAACCGUUUAAAAUAUUUUAUAUAGGAAUGAUCACAAGGCAAACAACCAAGAUAUAACGAUAUUGGAAUAUAAAAACAUAUAUUUAAUGAGUCUCGAUCACAAAAGAUUCUAUGCGCUGAUUGACAGAAAAGAAAGACAUAUAGAGCUGUAUGACAAAACGAGGCCUAAACAUAGGCAUGUCAUUUAAAAAAAGCAUUGCUUUCGGUAGCUGAAACCAAGGUAUUUAAAUAACUUCUAAAUGUAUUGAAAAUGAUAAAUGUGUAACAAAAAUGUCAGGGAUGUUUGAAUAUACAUCUUUAGUUUAAACAUAUUUAUUUAGAGUGGAUUGGGAAACAAGUUUUGCAACUUAUAUUAAUCCCUUUCCACUUUGCGGGUGCGAGUGCUGCCUUGUAGCGGCAUUAGCCUACUCUUUUUCGAAAUCUACAAGGGUGUCUUUAACGUGCAAGAGAUAUGGCUCUCUCUUAACACGGGUCAGCCAUUUAUCGUCCCCUUCCGACGGACUAUCAUCGUUUCCUUAAGACCAUACUCGCAAAUGGUGUCAAGGGAGAGCCGAAAAUUGAAUAUACAUCUUUAGAUCAAAGGCAAUAAUUUAUCAACCCUCGGAAUCAAAUGAACAAAAAAAUAUAAAUCAAUUCAUU